AAAGAGGAGAAAACGGUCGCGCUUUAUGAUUGUAUGAAGUGAGGAAAGUCCGAGCUCCGAAGAGCCGUGGUGCCCGGUAACACCGGGGCGGAGAGAUCCGACGGAAAGUGCCACAGAAAAUAUACAGCCUACCUGAACGCCUGGGCGUUCAGCGGUAAUGGUGAAAACGAGGUGUAAGAGACCCCGCCCGGAUCAGGUAACUGGUCCGUGAGGUAAACCCCAUCCGGAGCAAGGCCAAAUAGGGAAAGAGGGGUUGGCUCGCCCCGAUCGAUUUCCGGGUAGGCCGCACAGAACCGGCAGGCAACUGCUGUGUCAAGAUAAAUGACCGUGUCUGUCAUCCAUGACAGAACAGAACUCGGCUUAUUCUGCUCUUUCUGA
rnacentral:RNase_P_RNA from 1 species